UUUCCGUAGGUGAACCUGCGGAAGGAUCAUUAGCGAAGCUCGGAAUGCAUGUUCGGUCUGAUGCUGCCCAGCAAUGGGACGUGCUCGGCUGGAUGUGUGUCCCUUCUCUAUUCCACCCCUUUGUGAACCAAGUGUGCGAGCCGAAGAGAGAUCGGAGGCUCGCAUGCAACCCUUAACAUACCCCAAUGAGGUAUCAGAAUGUACCUUGCGUUAACUCGCACAAAUAUAACUUUCAACAACGGAUCUCUUGGCUCUC
rnacentral:misc_RNA from 1 species